UUUCACAACGGCCACUGCAGUCUCUCACCAAAAAGCUUCAGUCUCUGCAGUUUCACUGCCUGCAAUUCAUCGCAGUUCCCAGCAAAAUAACCGCUUAAAGCAAAAUCAAGGAGAAAUUUCAUCUAUUUCUUGUUUCUCUCUCAUUAAUCACUACCCCAAUCUGAAUUGGGGAAAUGGGCACAACCAAAUUCGGCAUUGCGAGCUGCGCUGAAUUCGUGGGAAGUUCUCAGAAGGUGAAUUCUGCUUGUUUAAGCUACCCCAGUUUAGGUUAUUCAUCUCUUUCGUUUGCGGGGAGAUUCGGUUCCGCUGCAUUCAGGCGAAGUCGUUCUACAGUGGCGUUAAGGGCGUCUUUUACUCCGGUUUCUGUCAGAGUUAGUGCUUCCUCCGCCACCGGUAUGCCUAACGGCGAAUUGGAAGCUUCAUCUACGAGGGUGAUUGGAGCUAGUGACUUGUUGAUUGUGGGGCCAGGCGUUCUAGGACGCAUAGUGGCUGAAAUCUGGCUAAAGGAGCAUCCAGGUUCUCAAGUUUACGGGCAGACCUUGACAAGCGAUCACCACAAUGAGUUAAUAGAAUUGGGGAUUAGUCCAUGUCUUAAGGGAACCCAGGUGGCUCAUAAGUUCCCUUAUGUGAUUUUCUGUGCCCCUCCAUCCCGAAAUUCAGAUUAUCCUGGUGAAGUCAGGGAAGCUACUUUAAAAUGGAACGGUGAAGGCUCUUUCCUGUUUACUUCAAGCUCCGCUACCUAUGACUGCAGUGACAAUGGAUACUGUGACGAGGACACUCCAGUAGUACCAGUUGGGAGGAGCCCUAGGACAGAUAAAUUGCUUAAUGUGGAGAAAGUAGUGUUGGAGGCUGAUGGUUGCAUUCUUAGAUUGGCUGGGCUUUACAAAGCAGGUAGAGGUGCCCAUACAUACUGGUUGAAGCAAGGCAGUGUUGAUAUUCGGCCUGAUCACAUCCUUAAUCUAAUACAUUAUGAGGAUGCAGCUUCACUUGCAAUUUCCAUCUUAAAAAGGAAACUCCAUGGGCGGAUCUUUCUUGGCUGUGAUAAUAACCCUUUAUCCAGGAAGGAAGUGAUGGAAUUGGUUAACAAAAGUGGAAAAUAUAAUCAGAAAUUCGAGGGUUUUACGGGAACAACUGGUCCUCUGGGUAAGAAAUUAAACAACUCCAAAACUCGUGCAGAGCUGGGAUGGGAGCCAAAAUAUCCCAGCUUUGCGCAGUUCCUUGAGUCUCUUUGAGAAACUUUGUGUGAUCAACCUCAUUGCCCGAGAUGUUUUUGAAGCAAGUGGCAUAUAGUCAUCAAUCAUACCUGAAGUAUUCCCUCAGGCGGCCUCAUUAUCUUUGCCUCAUUAUGAUGAUAGGUGAGAGUACGGUGAAAGAUCUUUGAUCACAUUUUGGUGCCACACCGAGGUAGAGGUAGACCAACGUGUAAUUUCAUUUGCUUCCCGCUUUAAAUCAUAAUUUAGUUUAAAUAUAUUUUUAAAUUUUCAAAAAGCGUCACAUGUCAAUCAGGCAUUGGCUACAGUAUGUGUGAGAACAACAAUACGAUUGGCAAAAGGUGGAGAAUAUGUAUGCAAGUCUUGAAGAAAAAGAAAUACUUAAAGAUAAAUGCUACAAUUUAUUUAAUUAGUCUUCUUAUGUUAGAAAAAUCAUAAAACCACUGUAUAUGGAAUCCAACAAACAAUAUAAUCUAGAAAAAUUUGUACUCCAUUUAACUCUGUUGUUGAUCAAUACUUUGCACAUAAAGUGCCUUAAUUGCAACAUGCAAACAUAAUCAUAUUUUCAUGGAGGAAAAUUGUGUUUUUUCUUUUGUCCUGAGGGUGGAAAAGUGCCUUUUCGAGUGAUUUUUCAGGGUACAAUUUGCAUGAGCAAAUAUAUAUUUGAGUGAUUUUAAAUGAGGAAAACAAAAUCUAUAACUUUAAUUUAAUUAAGUAGUAGUAUAUAUAAACAUAAUAUGAAUGACUAAUAAAAAUAAAUGUGUUGAGCACUUUAUUUCUAUGGGUCGGCUCAAAAUGUUUGUGAUGGAGAGAGGCAUCCACCUCUUUUGGUUUCGUCUUCAGCGACUUCUCACCUGUCCUUGUCUGUGGUCCGUUGCUGAGUUUGAAAAUUGGGGGAGAAAGAAGAAGUUGGUGCUCAAUUUUGAGAAAUAGGGAAUAGAA